rnacentral:snoRNA from 1 species
CUAGCACUUUCACAGGUCCUCCCCCCCCCCGGCAGUGGGGCCAGGAUUUGGUAGCUGGUGCUGAAAUUGAAAACCCUUGAUUGUAUCCUUGCCCUGGGGCUGUGCCAGCGGCAACUGUCACUCAAUGGGACAGAG